GACCUGCAACUGGCAACAGCUGGCACAUCUCUUCAAGCAUAGUGUUUGAGUCUGGCAGGUUUGCCGAAUCCACACUUCAUGUGAUGGGGUCAAUAAAUCGCAUCAUAAAUAAGUGGUCCAUUGUCGGUGGGACCGGAGAAUUUACAAGGGCGACGGGUAUUAUCGACUUCAAACAAGACCCAGCGUCUACCACGGAUGACGUCAUUAGAGAACUUAAUAUUCGCAUAUUCCACUAUGCAGAUGUUGCAAGUGCUGCUCAGUAAGCUAUAUGCACGUUUGUUGCAAAAGUAUGCUACCGGGGACUAAGUGCUUCAAAAAUAAUGCACGCUCAUGGAUCAUGGUCAUGUGAUAUCCCGUGCUCAAUCAUGAAAGUUUCUGGUUCUAGUGUCAUCAGUGUCUUUUUUUAUGCUGUGAGAUGUGUGGACUGCAAGCUUUCAUAUAUUUCCGGUUCAAAUAAGGCUCGGGUUUCUAGCAUGGGAUUAUUGACCCUAAUUCCAAGACCCAUUUGUCCAUUGUUUUCUAAGUAAUGUGUGAUUAUUGCAUAGUUUGUGUACUAUGUUAUUCCUCGGCUCCCUGAGUAAUUAUGUA